rnacentral:tRNA from 1 species
GCGCCGUAGCUCGGCUGUAUAGGGCAUCAGACUAUGAAUCUGAGGGGCGGGCGUUCGAAUCGUUCGGAGCGCGCCA